rnacentral:rRNA from 1 species
AGAGUUUGAUCCUGGCUCAGGACGAACGCUGGCGGUGCGCCUUAUGCAUGCAAGUCGAGCGAAGCUUUUCAGUAGUUUACUACAGAAAAUGACUGAGCGGCGAACGGGUGAGUAACGCGUGAGCAAUCUACCUUAGUUACUGGGAUAGCCCGAGGAAACUCGGAUUAAUACCGGAUAAUCUUAUUACAUCACAUGAUAUUUUAAGUAAAGGUCAGCCGAACUAAGAUGAGCUCGCGUUCUAUCAGCUUGUUGGUGGGGUAAAAGCCUACCAAGGCUACGACGGAUAGCUGGUCUGAGAGGACGAUCAGCCACACUGGGACUGAGACACGGCCCAGACUCCUACGGGAGGCUGCAGCAGGGAAUAUUGCGCAAUGAGCGAAAGCUUGACGCAGCGACACCGCGUGUGGGAUGACGGUUCUAGGAUUGUAAACCACUUUCAGGAGGGAAGAAAAUGACGGUACCUCCACAAGAAGCCCCGGCCAACUACGUGCCAGCAGCCGCGGUAAUACGUAGGGGGCGAGCGUUGUCCGGAUUUAUUGGGCGUAAAGAGCUCGUAGGCGGUUCAACAAGUCGGUCGUGAAAGUUCAGGGCUUAACCCUGAAAUGUCGAUCGAUACUGUUGUGACUAGGAUAUGGUAGAGGUGAGUGGAAUUCCGAGUGUAGCGGUGAAAUGCGUAGAUAUUCGGAGGAACACCAAUUGCGAAGGCAGCUCACUGGGCCGCUAUCGACGCUGAGGAGCGAAAGCUAGGGGAGCAAACAGGAUUAGAUACCCUGGUAGUCCUAGCUGUAAACGAUGGAUACUAGAUGUAGGAAUUGGAUUGACGAUUUCUGUAUCGUAGCUAACGCGUUAAGUAUCCCGCCUGGGGAGUACGGUCGCAAGACUAAAACUCAAAGGAAUUGACGGGACCCCGCACAAGCGGCGGAGCAUGCGGCUUAAUUCGAUGAUACCCGUAGAACCUUACCUGGACUUGACAUAUAGGGAAAAGUUAUAGAAAUAUAAUGUGCGUAAGCGCCCUAUACAGGUGGUGCAUGGCUGUCGUCAGCUCGUGUCGUGAGAUGUUGGGU